CCUACGGGAGACAGCAGUGGGGAAUAUUGCACAAUGGGGGAAACCCUGAUGCAGCGACGCCGCGUGAGUGAAGAAGUAUUUCGGUAUGUAAAGCUCUAUCAGCAGGGAAGAAGAAAGACGGUACCUACCUAAGAAGCCCCGCCUAACUACGGGCAAGCAGCCGCGGUAAGACGUAGGGGGCAAGCGUUAUCCGGAUUUACUGGGUGUAAAGGGAGCGUAGACGGCUGUGCAAGUCUGAAGUGAAAGCCCAGGGCUCAACCCCGGGACUGCUUUGGAAACUGUGGAGCUAGAGUGCUGGAGAGGUAAGUGGAAUUCCUAGUGUAGCGGUGAAAUGCGUAGAUAUUAGGAGGAACACCAGUGGCGAAGGCGGCUUACUGGACAGUAACUGACGUUGAGGCUCGAAAGCGUGGGGAGCAAACAGGAUUAGAUACCCUGGUAGUC
rnacentral:rRNA from 1 species